UACGAAGGGGGCUAGCGUUGCUCGGAAUCACUGGGCGUAAAGAGCUCGUAGGCGGUGUGUCGCGUCGGCCGUGAAAACCUGCAGCUUAACUGUGGGCUUGCGGUCGAUACGGGCAUCACUGGAGUUCGGCAGGGGAGACUGGAAUUCCUGGUGUAGCGGUGAAAUGCGCAGAUAUCUGGAGGAACACCGGUGGCGAAGGCGGCGUUCUGGACUGCAACUGACACUGAGGAACGAAAGCCAGGGGAGCAAACGGG
rnacentral:rRNA from 1 species